rnacentral:rRNA from 1 species
AGGCUUAACACAUGCANAGUCGAGGGGCAGCAUGGUCUUAGCUUGCUAAGGCCGAUGGCGACCGGCGCACGGGUGAGUAACACGUAUCCAACCUGCCGUCUACUCUUGGACAGCCUUCUGAAAGGAAGAUUAAUACAGGAUGGCAUCAUGAGUCCGCAUGUUCACAUGAUUAAAGGUAUUCCGGUAGACGAUGGGGAUGCGUUCCAUUAGAUAGUAGGCGGGGUAACGGCCCACCUAGUCUUCGAUGGAUAGGGGUUCUGAGAGGAAGGUCCCCCACAUUGGAACUGAGACACGGUCCAAACUCCUACGGGAGGCAGCAGUGAGGAAUAUUGGUCAAUGGGCGAGAGCCUGAACCAGCCAAGUAGCGUGAAGGAUGACUGCCCUAUGGGUUGUAAACUUCUUUUAUAAAGGAAUAAAGUCGGGUAUGGAUACCCGUUUGCAUGUACUUUAUGAAUAAGGAUCGGCUAACUCCGUGCCAGCAGCCGCGGUAAUACGGAGGAUCCGAGCGUUAUCCGGAUUUAUUGGGUUUAAAGGGAGCGUAG